ACUGGGUUGGCCGAGUGGUUAAGGCGUUGGACUUAAGUUCCAAUGGACAAGUGUCCGCGUGGGUUCGAACCCCACACCCAGGU
rnacentral:tRNA from 1 species